rnacentral:rRNA from 1 species
AUUGAACGCUGGCGGCAGGCCUAACACAUGCAAGUCGAGCGGAUGAAGGGAGCUUGCUCCUGGAUUCAGCGGCGGACGGGUGAGUAAUGCCUAGGAAUCUGCCUGGUAGUGGGGGAUAACGUCCGGAAACGGGCGCUAAUACCGCAUACGUCCUGAGGGAGAAAGUGGGGGAGCUUCGGACCUCACGCUAUCAGAUGAGCCUAGGUCGGAUUAGCUAGUUGGUGGGGUAAAGGCCUACCAAGGCGACGAUCCGUAACUGGUCUGAGAGGAUGAUCAGUCACACUGGAACUGAGACACGGUCCAGACUCCUACGGGAGGCAGCAGUGGGGAAUAUUGGACAAUGGGCGAAAGCCUGAUCCAGCCAUGCCGCGUGUGUGAAGAAGGUCUUCGGAUUGUAAAGCACUUUAAGUUGGGAGGAAGGGCAGUAAGUUAAUACCUUGCUGUUUUGACGUUACCAACAGAAUAAGCACCGGCUAACUUCGU